rnacentral:rRNA from 1 species
CCUACGGGUGGCAGCAGUGGGGAAUAUUGCGCAAUGGGCGAAAGCCUGACGCAGCGACGCCGCGUGAGGGAUGAAGGUCUUCGGAUCGUAAACCUCUGUCAGCAGGGAAGAACGGUCACUGUGCUAAUCAGCAGUGAAUUGACGGUACCUGCAAAGGAAGCACCGGCUAACUCCGUGCCAGCAGCCGCGGUAAUACGGAGGGUGCGAGCGUUAAUCGGAAUUACUGGGCGUAAAGCGCUCGUAGGCGGUAUGUCAAGUCAAGGGUGAAAUCCCCGGGCUCAACGUGGGAAGUGCCUUUGAAACUGGCAAACUGGAGUGUGUGAGAGGAGAGUGGAAUUCCAGGUGUAGGAGUGAAAUGCGUAGAUAUCUGGAGGAACAUCAGUGGCGAAGGCGACUAUCUGGCACAUAACUGACGCUGAGGAGCGAAAGCGUGGGUAGCAAACAGGAUUAGAUACCCCUGUAGUC